CCUACGGGCGGCAGCAGUGAGGAAUUUUCCGCAAUGGACGCAAGUCUGACGGAGCAACGCCGCGUGCAGGACGACGGCCUUCGGGUUGUAAACUGCUUUUCUCUGGGACGAGCAAGGACGGUACCAGAGGAACAAGCCCCGGCUAACUACGUGCCAGCAGCCGCGGUAAUACGUAGGGGGCGAGCGUUGUCCGGAGUUACUGGGCGUAAAGCGCAUGCAGGCGGUUCUCUAAGUUUAAGGUAACAGCUCCCGGCUCAACUGGGAGAGUGUCUUGAAAACUGGAGGACUUGAGGGCUCAAGAGGGACAUGGAAUUCCGGGUGUAGUGGUGAAAUGCGUAGAUAUCCGGAGGAACACCAAUGGCGAAGGCAGUGUCCUGGUGAGCACCUGACGCUCAGAUGCGAAAGCUAGGGGAGCGAACGGGAUUAGAUACCCUUGUAGUC
rnacentral:rRNA from 1 species